rnacentral:lncRNA from 1 species
GGUUUCUCAAAGCUGUGUGCUACUAUAUAAAUUUAUAAUUUGAAUCUUAAAAAAAAAGUGUACAAAUGAAAUUUUUGUACUACAUUUAAAGUUUUGUCAUUAUAACCAGAUUAAUUUUUCCAUUUCUGUACCAUAUAUCAAGUUCUACCAGUAUCACCUAUGUAUGUUCAUUUCUUUUGUGUUUUUUUUUUCCAUUUUAUAAACAAGCAAGGGUAAAC